UUUGAAACUAAUACUACUCUAAUGAGAAUCCACCGCUAUACCCACUAGGCUGCCGUUCGCUUACUCAUAGUGAAUCGUGGUGGAAACGAUGAGAAGAUUUUGCGGAAAACAGGAAUUUAAAAUCAUACUUUCGUAAAAUGGCAACGCAUGUGGCAUAGAUAUAACUGCCACAGGCAGCUGAGGGUCGGUGGGUGGCUCGAACAAAAUUGACACCCAGGGUGAAUUACAGCCUUGUGGCCGUGACUGUAGAAGGCUAUGGUUCGUGGUCACGCUUUCGUCACAUUCUUUAUUUUCUUUAUCGUUUACAAAAAAUUUGAAUUUCAGACCCAUUAUUUUAGAAAAUAUGGACCUUUUAAAAAAAGAGAAGUUUUGCGAAAUUUGGGACACUAAAUUUUACUGCAGUUGAGAAAAAGGCAUUUUGUUUACAAAGACCAUAUCCUGCCCCAAUGAAAGAGAGAACCCCGUGCACCCCUUUAUCGAGGGGAACUGGAAAUGGGGAAUUUGUUCUAACUUCUCAUACCCCCUUAAAAUAUGUGCAACACCGUUGGAGAAAUAAGUGGUAGCCUGCCAAAAUUAAUACCGUUAAUAUGUUAACUGAUUAUUAUCAAUUUUUUAACAUGAACAAUAAAAGAUUAAGUGUAAGCUAUA